CCUACGGGGGGCAGCAGUGGGGGAUAUUGCACAAUGGGGGAAACCCUGAUGCAGCGACGCCGCGUGUGGGAAGACGGUCCUCUGGAUUGUAAACCACUGUCCCCAGGGACGAAGAUGACGGUACCUGGGGAGGAAGCUCCGGCUAACUACGUGCCAGCAGCCGCGGUAAUAGGUAGGGCGCGAGCGUUGUCCGGAUUUACGGGGUGUAAAGGGAGCGUAGGCGGGACUGCAAGUUGGGUGUCAAAUCUACCGGCUCAACCGGUAGCCGCACUCAAAACUGCAGUUCUUGAGUGAAGUAGAGGCAGGCAGAAUUCCUAGUGUAGCGGUGAAAUGCGUAGAGAUGAGGAGGAAGACCAGUGGCGAAGGCGGCCUGCUGGGCUUUUACUGACGCUGAGGCGCGAAAGUGUGGGGAGCAAACAGGAUUAGAUACCCCUGUAGUC
rnacentral:rRNA from 1 species